rnacentral:lncRNA from 1 species
CAGAACUUCUCCCCUGAGUGCCACCAUUAAAAAACACAUCCCUUAUUACAUGAAAAGGAAGAAAGGGACAUAAGGAAUAGGGAUGGUUCCUUCUCCCAAUAACCAGCAUCCUCUUUGGAAGGUAUAGAGAACAGGGCACUAAGAAGCUGGAAUUAGUAGAAGGAAUUUCUACAAGAACUGAACCAUACUGAACUUCAAGGAUUGAAGAGGAGUGAAGACCCCAAAAGUGAAAGCAAAGUCAAGGUGCAGAAAGGCACUGGUCAGAGUGAAGAAUUCCCAAAAAGCAACAUUAUAGACUUCCCAGAGGGAAAAUGGCAGCAUCAUUUAGGAUAUAUCCCUGCUACCUCUGCCUUUGACUUUCAGAUGGAACUUGACAGAGCUAUUGCAGUCCUGGUGAAUGCCCUUUCCCUCUCAUCCUGGACAGCUGAUGAGGCCAGCUCAUCAGAUCCUAUAGCACAGGGUUCUGAGCAGGAUGGUGACCAGCCCUUCCCAACCAGUCAGCAGGACCCCAGGCAGGUACCUGAGGAGCUGCCCCUAUCCAGUGAGGAAUGCCCAGAAGCAAGGUAUGGAAAUUCUGAUUCCCUCAGGUUCAUGGCGGAGUCUACAUGUAAGACUCUCUGGAAGAGAGUCUUAUCAGUUUUUGAUACCAUGCUUGGAAAUAUUUUCAAAGUAUACCUAUUAAAUAGAGCUUAUUCCAAUCCCUAACCAGUUCAAAGAUUAAG